rnacentral:rRNA from 1 species
CAAAUGACUCUCGGCAAUGGAUAUCUCGGCUCUUGCAUCGAUGAAGAACGUAGUGAAAUGCGAUACUUGGUGUGAAUUGCAGAAUCUCGUGAACCAUUGAGUCUUUGAACGCAAGUUGUGCCCGAGGCCUUGCGGUCGAGGGCACGCCUGCUUGGGUGUCAUGG